rnacentral:rRNA from 1 species
AGCGAACGCUGGCGGCAGGCUUAACACAUGCAAGUCGAACGGAUCCUUCGGGAUUAGUGGCGGACGGGUGAGUAACACGUGGGAACGUGCCUUUUGGUUCGGAACAACACAGGGAAACUUGUGCUAAUACCGGAUAAGCCCUUCGGGGAAGGAUUAUCGCCAUUAGAGCGGCCCGCGUCUGAUUAGCUAGUUGGUGAGGUAAAGGCUCACCAAGGCUACGAUCAGUAGCUGGUCUGAGAGGAUGAUCAGCCACACUGGGACUGAGACACGGCCCAGACUCCUA